GGGCCCGCACAAGCGGUGGAGCAUGUGGUUCAAUUCGACGCAACGCGAAGAACCUUACCUGGGCUCGAAAUGCAGUGGACCGGGGUGGAAACAUCCCUUUCCGCAAGGACUGCUGCAUAGGUGCUGCAUGGCUGUCGUCAGCUCGUGUCGUGAGAUGUUGGGUUAAGUCCCGCAACGAGCGCAACCCUUAUUGCCAGUUGCUAACACGUUAUGGUGAGCACUCUGGCGAAACCGCCCCGGAUAACGGGGAGGAAGGUGGGGAUGACGUCAAGUCCUCAUGGCCUUUAUGUCCAGGGCUACACACGUGCUACAAUGGCCGAUACAAACCGUCGCAAACCCGCGAGGGGGAGCUAAUCGGAAAAAGUUGGCCUCAGUUCGGAUUGUAGUCUGCAACUCGACUACAUGAAGCUGGAAUCGCUAGUAAUCGCGGAUCAGCACGCCGCGGUGAAUACGUUCCCGGGCCUU
rnacentral:rRNA from 1 species